UACAGAGGUGCCAAGCGUUAGGCGGAAUCACUGGGCUUAAAGCGUGUGGUAGGCGGACCGUUAAGUACCUUGUGAAAUCCCAGCGGCUCAACCGUGGAAACGGCUGGGUAUACUGGCAUUCUUGAGCCAUCUAGGGGCGAGCGGAACAAAUGGUGGAGGCGGUGAAAUGCGUAGAGUAUACAUUUGGAACGCCAACGGUGAAAACAGCUCGCUGGGGAUGAUGCUGACGCUGGAGACACGAAAGCCAGGGGAGCAAACGGG
rnacentral:rRNA from 1 species